AACGCAUAUGGCGCCCCGCGGAGCGAUCCGGGGGGCAUGCCUGCCUGAGAAUCGGCAACACACAUAUUGCCGUUGGGCCUUCACCAGUGAUCGCCCGGAAGACGCACACCCCGGCCGUGUCAUGGAGCAGUCCGCGCCGGCCGGGCCCACACCGCGAUCUCAGGUCAGGCAAGACUACCCGCCGAACUUAA
rnacentral:misc_RNA from 1 species